rnacentral:rRNA from 1 species
CAGGAUGAACGCUAGCUACAGGCUUAACACAUGCAAGUCGAGGGGCAGCAUUGGAGUAGCAAUACUCAGAUGGCGACCGGCGCACGGGUGAGUAACACGUAUCCAACCUGCCGCUUACUCGGGGAUAGCCUUUCGAAAGAAAGAUUAAUACCCGAUGGUAUAAAGAGUUCGCAUGUUCUCUUUAUUAAAGAAUUUCGGUAAGCGAUGGGGAUGCGUUCCAUUAGAUAGUUGGCGGGGUAACGGCCCACCAAGUCUACGAUGGAUAGGGGUUCUGAGAGGAAGGUCCCCCACAUUGGAACUGAGACACGGUCCAAACUCCUACGGGAGGCAGCAGUGAGGAAUAUUGGUCAAUGGACGAGAGUCUGAACCAGCCAAAAGUAGCGUGAAGGAUGACUGCCCUAUGGGUUGUAAACUUCUUUUAUAAGGGAAUAAAGUGAGGGACGUGUCCCUUUUUGUAUGUACCUUAUGAAUAAGGAUCGGCUAACUCCGUGCCAGCCGCCGC